GAUGAACGCUGGCGGCGUGCCUAAUACAUGCAAGUCGAGCGAACGGAUGAGAAGCUUGCUUCUCUGAUGUUAGCGGCGGACGGGUGAGUAACACGUGGAUAACCUACCUAUAAGACUGGGAUAACUUCGGGAAACCGGAGCUAAUACCGGAUAAUAUUUUGAACCGCAUGGUUCAAAAGUGAAAGACGGUCUUGCUGUCACUUAUAGAUGGAUCCGCGCUGCAUUAGCUAGUUGGUAAGGUAACGGCUUACCAAGGCAACGAUGCAUAGCCGACCUGAGAGGGGGAUCGGCCACACUGGAACUGAGACACGGUCCAGACUCCUACGGGAGGCAGCAGUAGGGAAUCUUCCGCAAUGGGCGAAAGCCUGACGGAGCAACGCCGCGUGAGUGAUGAAGGUCUUCGGAUCGUAAAACUCUGUUAUUAGGGAAGAACAUAUGUGUAAGUAACUGUGCACAUCUUGACGGUACCUAAUCAGAAAGCCACGGCUAACUACGUG
rnacentral:rRNA from 1 species